GAGACGGAGCCGCUGCCCAUGGCAGGCCCUCGCCUCUGCUUCCCACCAUGCCGGGGUCCCAGGGGAAAGUUUCCGCAGCCCAAGGCCCCUCUCGAGAUUUGGUUCACAGUCUGAGAGCGAUUCGGUCAAGAUUCCUGGAGAAAACAACUUCCUAAACCCGGCAAUGCAAUGUGCCUCCCCAGACGGGUUCCUGCCGCCUCCUGUUAGCGUUUCCAGCCCGUCAGCUGCCGGCAGGCCCAUUGGAGAGGGCCCACCUGGCUGCCCCCUGGGGCAAUCCGUGUCCGCGGCCACCGUCCCACCCUGGCGCUGACCCUGCAUGCAACAGGAGAGCCUGGCCCUUCCAGUGGGACAUCUCAGACCCAGACAGCUUGUGCCGGGCUCUGUCUCUCCAGCCUCCUGCUCUGGGGACCCGGCGCCACGUUGUGAGAAAGGCCCAGCUGCGUGCGGGUGCUCCUGUCGACGUCCCAGCCCACAGCCAGCUAUGAACAAUCCACGCCGUGACAACCGCAGAUUUGCACUUGAUGUCAAAAUACCUGGAAAUUCCACCCUCCUCUCCCUCCACUGGCCUUUCCCUGGCCUGAGAAUGUCACGCUGGACCGACGAACGCAACCUGGGGGAAAUGUCCCUGGCCGUAAUCUCUGAGCCAAAGGUCAGGACACACGAUGUAGCGUGAGCCUGUGGCAUCCACUGGGAACUGCGAUCAGGACACAGGUUGGAAUUUCCA
rnacentral:lncRNA from 1 species